CAGCAGCGUCAGGAGACUGCCUGGCUGAGGGAGGGAGAGUCCUUACCUCUCCUGGGUGGUGUGGGGGUAUUUUGUGUACUCGCAUUCCUGGGGUGACUGGCUGUGAAUUAAUAUGAUGACUUAGGAGUGUUUACCAAAUUGGAAGUGACCUGAUGUAAUUUCCAAUUCUCCUUGGGACAUCCACAGUCCUUCAUAAUGGAAAGGUUGCAAGUCCCUCCCAGCAAGCCAGCAGGGGAGGUAAAUCAGCUGAGAGGAAUCCCCUUAUACUCAUGCCAAGGAGCCCCACUUGACAGAGGACUGUAAAAAUGGAAUUUGCUCUUCCCAGGGAACUACUUAUGCAACCUUAGCUGCAGCUGCCUUGCCUUUGGUGUGUGGUGCUGUUUUAUCAGCCUACCUCUGCCCCUCAGGUGUGCCCAUCCUUCCAGUAGCACAGGGAGUUUGGUGGGCUCAGUACUGAGGAAUGUCAGCAUCUCAAGGACUGUCGUUUAGGAGCUGCCCAUGGUAUCCAAUUCACUGGAGAAUUUUGACACCACCUGAGCCCUUCUCAGCAAGGUCAUCCCAG